rnacentral:rRNA from 1 species
GACGAACGCUGGCGGCGUGCCUAAUACAUGCAAGUCGAACGCAGUGGGGACGGGUGAGUAACACGUGGGUAACCUCCCAUCAGAGGGGAUAACACUUGGAAACAGGUGCAAAACCGAUACUGAUGGAUGGACCCGCGGGGCAUUAGCUAGUUGGGGAGGUAACGGCUCACCAAGGCCACGAUUCAUAGCCGGCCUGAGAGGGUGACCGGCCACACUGGAACUGAGACACGGUCCAGACUCCUACGGGAGGCAGCAGUAGGGAAUAUUGGGCAAUGGACGAAAGUCUGAUCGAGCAACGCCGCGUGAGUGAAGAAGGUUUUCGGAUCGUAAAGCUCUGUUGUUGGAGAAGCGGUAUCUAACCAGAAAGCCACGGCUAACUACGUGCCAGCCGCCGCGGUAAUUC